CCAAAAUCAACCAACUUCAU
rnacentral:miRNA from 1 species